UGAGGAAUAUUGGACAAUGGGCGCAAGCCUGAUCCAGCCAUGCCGCGUGCAGGAUGACGGUCCUAUGGAUUGUAAACUGCUUUUAUACGAGAAGAAACACUCCUUCGUGAAGGAGCUUGACGGUAUCGUAAGAAUAAGGAUCGGCUAACUCCGUGCCAGCAGCCGCGGUAAUACGGAGGAUCCAAGCGUUAUCCGGAAUCAUUGGGUUUAAAGGGUCCGUAGGCGGUUUGGUAAGUCAGUGGUGAAAGCCCAUCGCUCAACGGUGGAACGGCCAUUGAUACUGCCAGACUUGAAUUAUUAGGAAGUAACUAGAAUAUGUAGUGUAGCGGUGAAAUGCUUAGAGAUUACAUGGAAUACCAAUUGCGAAGGCAGGUUACUACUAAUGGAUUGACGCUGAUGGACGAAAGCGUGGGUAGCGAACAG
rnacentral:rRNA from 1 species